rnacentral:rRNA from 1 species
CAGCCGCCGCGGUAAAACCAGCACCUCAAGUGGUCAGGAUGAUUAUUGGGCCUAAAGCAUCCGUAGCCCGUUUUGUAAGUUUUCGGUUAAAUCCAUGCGCUUAACGUAUGGGCUGCCGGGAAUACUGCAUAACUAGGAAGUGGGAGAGGUAGACGGUACUCGGUAGGAAGGGGUAAAAUCCUUUGAUCUAUUGAUGACCACCUGUGGCGAAGGCGGUCUACCAUAACAUGUUCGACGGUGAGGGAUGAGGGCUGGGGGAGCAAACUUAAAAAAAUACCCGGGGAUGUUUGAGGCCAAAUAACAGAACAGACCACGUGAUGGGUUUAUUUUACCUGUGCCGCUGAAAGGCAAAAUCCCAGCCCCCCACUUCAAUUCUUCCUUCAUAGAGACGUACUUGAAUUCAACGGGCGAGCCCAUUAAAA